CUUAUUAUGCCGGUGCCAGCCCCCGUACUCUGACGGGAAGCGGCGUGUGGCACCCACACCUGAAUAACCAGCCGUGAAGU
rnacentral:ncRNA from 1 species